rnacentral:rRNA from 1 species
GGGAAUUGCUUAUUGCACCACAUGUGUUUUUUAUUGAACAAAUUUCUUUGGUGGCGGGAGCAAUCCUACCGCCAGAGGUUAUAACUAAACCAAACUUUUUAUUUACAGUCAAACUUGAUUUAUUAUUACAAUAGUCAAAACUUUCAACAACGGAUCUCUUGGUUCUCGCAUCGAUGAAGAACGCAGCGAAAUGCGAUACGUAAUAUGAAUUGCAGAUAUUCGUGAAUCAUCGAAUCUUUGAACGCACAUUGCGCCCUUUGGUAUUCCAAAGGGCAUGCCUGUUUGAGCGUCAUUUCUCCCUCAAACCCCCGGGUUUGGUGUUGAGCAAUACGCUAGGUUUGUUUGAAAGAAUUUAACGUGGAAACUUAUUUUAAGCGACUUAGGUUUAUCCAAAAACGCUUAUUUUGCUAGUGGCCACCACAAUUUAUUUCAUAACUUUGACCUCAAAUCAGGUAGGACUACCCGCUGAACUUAAGCAUAUCAAUAGCGGGAGGAAGG